AGUCACCAGAAUGUCCUGACAGGUCAGCAGAAUGUCCUGACAAGUCACCAGAAUGUCCUGACAAGUCACCAGAAUGUCCUGACAUGUCCUGACAAGUCACCAGAAUGUCCUGACAGGUCAGCAGAAUUCAUCAGAAUGUCCUAACAAGUCAGCAGAAUGUCCUGAAAAGUCAGCAGAAUGUCCUGACAAGUCACCAGAAUGUCCUGUCAAGUCAUAAGAAUGUCCUGACAAGUCAUCAGAAUGUCCUGACAAGUCAUAAGAAUGUCCUGACAGGUCAGCAGAAUGUCCUGACAAGUCAGCAGAAUGUCUUGACAAUUCAGCAGAAUGUCCUGACAAUUCAGCAGAAUGUCCUGACAUGUCAGCAGAAUGUCCUGACAACAUUGGAACAAGAACAUUUUUUUUAAGUCAGGACUGAAUGUGUUAAAAUUCUAGUUUAGGCUUAAAGGUUAGGUUUGGGGUUAAGGUUAGAGUUAGGUUUAGGGUUAGGUUUAAGAUUAUGGGUUUGGGGUUAAGGUCAAGGUUAAGAGUUAGGGUUAGGGUUAGGUUAAGAGUUAAGGUUCAAGGUUAGGGGUUGAGGAAAAUUGGAUUUUAAGUGGGGAUACAUUUGUACUCCCCAAAAAGACCUGAAAGUUCAUGACAACAAAGCUGUGUGUGCUCCUUCCAUCUGAGUAGGGAGUGGGUUAGGGUGAAUAGGGAGUGGGUUAGGGUGAGUAGGGAGUGGGUUAGGGUGAGUAGGGAGUGGGUUAGGGUGAGUAGGGAGUGG
rnacentral:lncRNA from 1 species